rnacentral:lncRNA from 1 species
GCUCUACUUGCUCACAUUAGGCUGUGGUGUCCUGGAACCUCCAAUAAAUGCACCCAAGAAGAGACACCCCCAUUUGCCAGCCCUGACAGACUGCCAUUUGGCAUGUGGUUUUUCUCUCUCCCCGGGGAAGCUCCGUUACAAGCCUGAAGAAGAUAAACACCUGGAAGGGACACACAUGGCUUCCACCCAUCAAAGUGUGUGUGCUAUUGAUGCGAAGCGAGAAGAGUAAGUGUGCAUGGAGAGGAGGAGAAAGGUGAAAUGGGUGUAUGGUGCACAUAAUAUCAUCACUGGGGCAAAAGUGAACCGCA